UGGGGAAUUUUGGACAAUGGGCGAAAGCCUGAUCCAGCAAUGCCGCGUGUGUGAAGAAGGCCUUCGGGUUGUAAAGCACUUUUGUCCGGAAAGAAAUCCUUGGCUCUAAUACAGUCGGGGGAUGACGGUACCGGAAGAAUAAGCACCGGCUAACUACGUGCCAGCAGCCGCGGUAAUACGUAGGGUGCAAGCGUUAAUCGGAAUUACUGGGCGUAAAGCGUGCGCAGGCGGUUUGCUAAGACCGAUGUGAAAUCCCCGGGCUCAACCUGGGAACUGCAUUGGUGACUGGCAGGCUAGAGUAUGGCAGAGGGGGUAGAAUUCCACGUGUAGCAGUGAAAUGCGUAGAGAUGUGGAGGAAUACCGAUGGCGAAGGCAGCCCCUGGGCCAAUACUGACGCUCAUGCACGAAAGCGUGGGGAGCAAACAGGAUUAGAUACCCUGGUAGUCCACGCCCUAAACGAUGUCAACUAGUUGUUGGGGAUUCAUUCCUUAGUAACGUAGCUAACGCGUGAAGUUGACCGCCUGGGGAGUACGGUCGCAAGGUUAAAACUC
rnacentral:rRNA from 1 species